UACGGGGGUGGCGAGCGUUACUCGGAUUUAUUGGGUGUAAAGGGCAGGUAGGUGUUCCGCCAAGUUAGAAGUGAAAUCCUUUGGCUUAACCAAAGAACUGCUUCUAAAACUGGCGGGAUUGAGGCUGGAAGAGGAGAGCGGAAUUCCCGGUGUAAGGGUGAAAUCUGUAGAUAUCGGGAGGAACGCCAGUGGCGAAAGCGGCUCUCUGGUCUAGCUCUGACACUGAGCUGCGAAAGCUAGGGGAGCAAACAGG
rnacentral:rRNA from 1 species